rnacentral:rRNA from 1 species
UACAGAGGUGGCGAGCGUUGUUCGGAUUUACUGGGCGUAAAGGGCGCGUAGGCGGCCGCGUGUGUCGCGUGUGAAAUCCCCGGGCUCAACCCGGGAAGUGCGCGCGAAACUGCGGGGCUCGAGCGGAGGAGGGGAGAGCGGAAUUCAUGGUGUAGCGGUGAAAUGCGUUGAUAUCAUGAGGAACACCGGUGGCGAAGGCGGCUCUCUGGAAUCCUGCUGACGCUGAGGCGCGAAAGUCGGGGGAGCAAACAGGAUUAGAUACCCCCGUA